GUGGACUUUGGCAAUUUGCUGUUAGCAACUGCUUGAGAAUCUACAUGGUCACCGGACUCAAGGGCUGCAGCGCUCGAUGCUCCUGCUUGCUGCUUUCAUCAGGAUGUCUGGAUAUGCACUGUUGCUAUGCUGGUUCAUUGCUUGGUUUCUGAGUUUGAGAGAUCCUUGUUUCCUGUGGUCAAGGCUACAGAGUUAAGGGCACAGAGUUGUUGCCAUGAAAUUGUGUUGCUGUGCUUUGAAAUGCUGCUGGAAUUCUGGAACCCAGACAUUGUCUGAAGUGACUGGUUCAAGGCAGAAAACUUCCUUGGAAGAUAAGAAGAGUGCUUGUGGAGACAAUUACAGCUGUUAAUGCAGUGGACCGGAGUUUUAAACCUGUUGCAUAUACUUUUCAGCUCACUGUAAGAGAUGAAGCAUGGAGAAAAUGGGCAGAGGAGGUUCAGAAUAUUAAUAAGGGGAGCACGCUUCCUGAGAACUAUGUAAUCACAACAGCAAAUUCUAAGGAAUUAUUGGGAAUACUGACAGGCUUAAUGUAAUACAUGUCACCUUGAGAUCUGGACCAAGGACCUUCCUACAAAGUAAUAUGAGAUGAUUUGAAAUAGCCAUAAUAAUAAUUAAAAAACCAAAAAGGAAUAUUUGAAAAAGAAAAAAGCAGACUAACAUGUAUGAAGGAAAUCUGGCAAAUAUAAUGUGAUCCAAUGCAGACUGACUUGUGUUGUUUCAUUAGAUCAAAUGGAUGAUGCCCACUUCAACUUUUGUGUGUGCCAAAGCUGAAGCGCUGCAACAUUGUUUUAUCUGUACAAGUGUUACACACUUACAUUUCCAGACUUUUUCAGCAGCAGUGUCUGGCUAUUUGGGGAUAAUGGACAAAGCAUUUACAGUAAUCGUCCGUUCUCACCAUUCACGGGUGCACAAGGAAUCGACAAGCACAGUGCAUUUUUUCAGAAGGAUUUGGACCCUAACAGCCUGACACCAGUGGCUUGGAGCCACAUCACUGAAGAAUUUCCUGAAGUAUUGAAAAACAUUUACUGGGGAGCCCAUGGUCUGAACAUCUCCAGUCUGGUGAAGUAGAAGAAAUCGGAAAUCCA